rnacentral:lncRNA from 1 species
AAGCACUGAAUCUAGAUGACAUAAUAAAUUUAAUUUGUUUUGUUCAUUAAUACGUGGAUGCAAAAUUACUCUUCUUCGACCAAUAUCAAUUAGUUUUUUUUUUUUUUUUGGUAAAUUAUGUUACUAUAACGAAGAGUCUUCUUGGUAUUAAGCACCAACUAUUUUUUUAACUACUGAGUUUCAAAUAUAUAUAGAAACAACUAUCAUGGUUCGCUUUGUUAAAAAGAGAAAGAAAACAUACGUACAGUAUAUCGAAACAACGAAAGCUUGAUUCGUUUUCCCUUGUCA